GCAGAUGAAGCCUCAGCGGCCUUCGCCCGACCUGCUCAGAAGCGGACGGGAUCAUCCCGACCUUCUCGUUCGAUCCUGACCUCGUGCUAUGCCCACAGAAUCUCCAUCGAGGGGAAACCAGCGGGCCACCUGAGCCAGUCUCCGGAACGGCUCGGGCAUCUUCCGGGAGGCGAGUUAAGAGAAGUGGAAUGCCACAUGAGGGUUAUGCCGACUCCAUUACGAAC
rnacentral:lncRNA from 1 species